GGCUGCCCCUGCCACUCAUGCUGGGAAGCUGCUGUUCACCAUCCCUGCUCUGCUGUCCUGAUGAGGCCUGGCCCUGGCCCCAGCCCCAUACCUGGGAUGGUCACAACUGCUGGGACCAGUCCUAUGGGGACCCCUGCUCAAAGCACACAGGAAGCCACUCACGUCGGGACUGGGCACCUUCAGGACACCAGAACCAGCCCCAGGAGGUGCUGAUGGCAGACCCCAGUCAAAUCUGCACUUCUGCCCCACCUUGGGCAGCUCUGGAGCCUCAGCCCCAAGACGGAGGAGGGAAAUCCCCAGGCUGAGCCUCAGCUGGUGUAGCUGGUUGGACAGCACUACCCGUGGACAUGCUGGGUUGGGCUGAGGCAACAGGUGGACAGGCAGAAACUGGCACAUGGCAGGGCAGGGCGCCCCACAGGUGUGGCAGUGACCCCACACCAACUGUGGAGGGGCUCUUAUGGUUGCACUACACUGGAGAUUCUGCCUGUCCAGCCCUCUCAGUGCUAACAGGCAUGUGCAGAGCUGACGAGCCCCCCAUCGCACCGUUUCCCAGCUGUGAGAGGACAAUGGUGUCUUCCUUGGGGUACAUGCUCUUAAAAUCUGUCACACGAAGGUACCAAAUCAGCAAGAGAAAGGCCUCUGGAAAACCCCCAGGCAUUUGAAAUGAAGAAACCUGUGAACAGCCCUCAGGCAGAGGAAGUCCUGGGGGAAGGCAGCCAUGUGAGAGGGCGUGGGCCUGGAGGAGGAGCCCCCUUAAGAGCCUGUGUCCCACGUGAGAGGCUGUGCAAGAGCACAGGGAGUCACAGCUGAGACAGCAGGGGCCACAGGACAGCCAGUGUCACUGGGGAGAGGGACAGACAGCUGCGGCUUGGCCUCCUGCCAUGUGCUGCCGGCAUAGAAGGGAGGGUGACUGCAGUGACCAUGGGCUCUGGGAGUCCCUGCUGGACGUGGUGUGAGCAGAGCCACAGCUUCUCUGAAUGGUCAAGGACCACUUGUGACUUCUCCCCAUGCUCCAUGAGGCCAUGUGGGCAUGAGGGCCAGGGUGCAAGACUCUGGAGGACCCCAGGGUGCAACCGGGGAUGCCCACAGAGCUGACUGCUGUGACCACAGAGGCCCUGGCUGCAGCCUGAGAUGGGCAUGCUACCCAGUGUUCGAAACAAAACCACAAAAGCCUGCAUCUUGCAUUUAAGUACAAAA